CUGGUGUCUGGGUUUCAACUCUUAGAGCUUCCCAGCUCGUAGCUAUGCUCCUGAAUUCCUCUGGCAGCCCUCCUCAAGGACCUCUGUGAGACAAAGUCAGAAAUGACUUCACUGGAGACCAAGAGAGCCCACAGAGCUCUUCCUGCUGCUUCUUCUACCCUUGUACUCACUCGGCUCUCUAAAUUUGUCUCAGCUCCAGCCAUGUAAAACAUGCUUGCUUCCCCUUCACCUACUGCCAUGAUUGUCAGUUUCCUGAGAUCUUCCUCCCAGAAGCUUUUACUCUGUACAGAAGCCUGUACAGCCUGCAGAACCGUGAGCUAACUAAACCUCUUUUCAUUAUAAAUUACCCAGUCUCGGGUAUGUCUUUAUAGCAAUGUGAGAAUGGACUAAUACACACACACUCCUAUUUUAUCUUCUCUAACUUUCCCCCUUCCCCACAUGUCUCCAGCCACAUUGUCUCAUUAUAGCUCUUCAAACUCACCAAACACCCUCCUGCCUCUGAGCCUUUGCACUAGCUAUUCCCUCUGCCUGGAACACUUUUCACUCAUUUAAUAAAAUGGUUCAUUCUCUCACUUCCAUCUGAUGUAUAUCCAAAUGUUUUCUUAUCAGACAGAAUUCUGCCCUGACUAACUUACAAAAAAUAUCAACCCCUCAUUUCUUAUCAUCCUCACUGUGCUGCUUUUCUUUCUGGCACUUUCUACUACUCAACAUGUUAAAUAUUUAUUUGUUUGUUUGCUGUCUCACCUGCACCCCACCCUCCUCAUCAAAUUUAGGCUUCAAAAAGGCUUGUUUGGUCUGCUGCCAAAACAGUUACUGGAACAGGUAGUGUCAGCAAUAACACUUGUGGAGUGG
rnacentral:lncRNA from 10 species